rnacentral:rRNA from 1 species
CGAAGGGGGCGAGCGUUGUUCGGAAUUACUGGGCGUAAAGGGCGCGCAGGCGGCGAGUUUUGUCAGGCGUGAAAGCCCCGGGCUCAACCUGGGAACUGCGCUUGAAACGGGCUUGCUGGAGACCGGGAGAGGAGAGUGGAAUUCCCAGUGUAGAGGUGAAAUUCGUAGAUAUUGGGAAGAACACCGGUGGCGAAGGCGGCUCUCUGGACCGGAUCUGACGCUGAGGCGCGAAAGCGUGGGGAGCAAACAGGAUUAGAUACCCUGGUAGUCCACGCUGUAAACGAUGUGUGCUAGACGUUGGGGAGCCUAGCUCUUCGGUGUCGCAGCUAACGCGGUAAGCACACCGCCUGGGGAGUACGGCCGCAAGGUUA